rnacentral:rRNA from 1 species
AGCAGCCGCGGUAAUUCCAGCUCCAAUAGCGUAUAUUAAAGUUGUUGCAGUUAAAAAGCUCGUAGUUGAAUUUCGGGAUCAAAUUGUCGGUCGUGCCUCGGUACGUACUGGUAUUAUUGGUUCCUACCUUCUGAAGAACCGCGAUGUCAUUAAUUUGGUGUCGUGGGGAAUCAGGACUGUUACUUUGAAAAAUUAGAGUGUUUAAAGCAGGCUUACGCUUGAAUACAUUAGCAUGGAAUAAUGAAAUAGGACGUUUGAUUCUAUUUUGUUGGUUUCUAGGAUUGACGUAAUGAUUAAUAGGGAUAGUUGGGGGCAUUAGUAUUCAAUUGUCAGAGGUGAAAUUCUUGGAUUUACUGAAGACUAACUACUGCGAAAGCAUUUGCCAAGGAUGUUUUCAUUAAUCAAGAACGAAAGUUAGGGGAUCGAAGACGAUCAGAUACCGUCGUAGUCUUAACCAUAAACUAUGCCGACUAGGGAUCGGAUGAUGU